rnacentral:lncRNA from 1 species
GCAAUACGAGGGGGAGGGGUAAAGAUCUAUUGGACCUAGCAUAUAUAAAGCAAUAAAAGUCUGCGAAGUCUACCAACGAACAUGAUAUGAUAACUGUGAAAAUUUAAACAGGGUAAGGGAGCCGAUGAGGACACCUAACCAGAUCUAAGCCAUUCGAUAAAUGUGAGUGCUUGAUUAAACUAAGAGAUCGAUACGAUACGACUUAAUAAAACCAAAUAACUCGAUACUCGAUAACUGUGAGAAACCAUCGAAGACAAGCAGAAUAUUGGACAAACCCUUGAAAGUUCUACUUGCAAUCUAAG